UAUGGCGGGUGCUGGUGUGCGGGUGAGUAACCUUGCGUUAUUUCUGGACGCAGGUGUGAAAGAGGUACACAGCUCCGCAGGACAGUGGGUUGCGUCGGUAAUGCGUUACCGCAAUCAAGGCCUUUCGAUGUCCACUGACCCCAAUGCCGAUGAAUACUCUCGCUUUGCCGUCAAUGGCGAAACCGUGGCGGAAAUGAAGGCGAUUGUGGCCCGUUACGACACGGAAUAACCGAUUUUUACCGCGCAUCAUGUCGCCCAAUAUGAUGCUUGCUUGUACCAGGCCCCUGCCAAUUAAACAGGGGCCUUUUUUU
rnacentral:ncRNA from 1 species